rnacentral:rRNA from 1 species
GUAAGGAAUAUUGGUCAAUGGACGAAAGUCUGAACCAGCCAUGCCGCGUGGAGGAUGAAGGUCCUCUGGAUUGUAAACUUCUUUUAUAUGGGACGAAAAAAGGCUUUUCUAAGUCGUCUGACGGUACCAUAUGAAUAAGCACCGGCUAACUCCGUGCCAGCAGCCGCGGUAAUACGGAGGGUGCAAGCGUUAUCCGGAUUCACUGGGUUUAAAGGGUGCGUAGGUGGAUUGCCAAGUCCGUGGUGAAAUCUUCGAGCUUAACUAGGAAACUGCCAUGGAUACUGGUGAUCUUGAAUAUCGUGGAGGUUAGCGGAAUAUGUCAUGUAGCGGUGAAAUGCUUAGAUAUGACAUAGAACACCAAUUGCGAAGGCAGCUGGCUACGCGAAUAUUGACACUCAGGCACGAAAGCGUGGGGAUCAAACAGGAUUAGAUACCCGGGUAGUCC